CUGGAUAAUAUUUGACAAGUAGAACAAUCAUACAUUAUAUGGCGUGAUGGCCCUACAUCAAUGUACUGUGAUGAUCUUGAAUUAUCUGCAGCAUACCAAUGAAGACAUCAAGUCAUGAAAUGUAAAUAAUUCUUAACCACUGAAGUAUGAAGAGUGAAUGAUUACUUUGGCAAAUGCCUUAACUUUAUUAGAUGUUCUGGAGUCGUUAGGUUUUUGGUUUUCCACAUCCAUAUGGAGCCUUGAUACUUGCACUCUUUGAGUCUUGAGCCUUGCGUUAUAAGGAGUCCCACCAUCUAGUUGG
rnacentral:lncRNA from 1 species